CCUACGGGAGGCAGCAGUGAGGAAUAUUGGUCAAUGGACGAGAGUCUGAACCAGCCAAGUAGCGUGAAGGAUGACUGCCCUAUGGGUUGUAAACUUCUUUUAUAUGGGAAUAAAACAGGGUAUGCAUACCCUCUUGUAUGUACCAUAUGAAUAAGGAUCGGCUAACUCCGUGCCAGCAGCCGCGGUAAUACGGAGGAUCCGAGCGUUAUCCGGAUUUAUUGGGUGUAAAGGGAGCGUAGGUGGAUUGUUAAGUCGGGUGUGAAAGUUUGCGGCUCAACCGUAAAAUUGCAGUUGAAACUGGCAGGCUUGAGUAGAGGAGAGGUGGGCGGAAUUCGUGGUGUAGCGGUGAAAUGCUUAGAUAUCACGAAGAACUCCGAUUGCGAAGGCAGCUCACUGGACUGCAACUGACACUGAUGCUCGAAAGUGUGGGUAUCAAACAGGAUUAGAUACCCUUGUAGUC
rnacentral:rRNA from 1 species